rnacentral:rRNA from 1 species
UACGUAGGGUGCAAGCGUUUAAUCGGAAUACUGGGCGUAAAGCGUGCGCAGGCGGUGAUGUAAGACAGGUGUGAAAUCCCCGGGCUUAACCUGGGAACUGCAUUUGUGACUGCAUCGCUGGAGUGCGGCAGAGGGGGAUGGAAUUCCGCGUGUAGCAGUGAAAUGCGUAGAUAUGCGGAGGAACACCGAUGGCGAAGGCAAUCCCCUGGGCCUGCACUGACGCUCAUGCACGAAAGCGUGGGAGCAAACAGG